rnacentral:lncRNA from 1 species
GAAAUAUGUCGCUUAGAUAUUUCUCAUAUGGUAUUGUAUAAUUAAGGCGCUUUUACAUUUCACCCUGCUAAGGCGAACCAUUUUCUUUGUAAGAGUUAUCUCCCUAUUCACUGUUUACCAUCAGAGUGCAUCUCCUUCGUAACAAAAAAAAGAUAGCGACAAAAUUCUUUUUACAAAUUGUUUGUUACAUCCUCAAGAAAUUUUGGCUAAUUUGGAUAGAAGCGAUUGGAUGAAAUUUUAUAGGAGUUAUCUACCUUUACGGAAGAAAUUUGUCGGUAUGUUUUUUUAACUCAUAAACCGUUAACCGUAUAACCCUGGAAUGUUUUUAUUUGAGUCCCCUGGGUCCUAACUUAGAAAAUGAGGUCAAGGUCAAAGGUUAAGGUCAAGUUCUCAAUGUUGACUUUUCCUUUUUUUGGUAUUUUCUCCAACACCUUUAAAGAUAUGCAUAAAAGAAGAAGUGCAAAAUGUUUGCUUAAUUGUAAUGUAGAUUUGUUACGUUUGGUC